GACGUAGGGCGCGAGCGUUGUCCGGAUUUAUUGGGCGUAAAGAGCUCGUAGGCGGCUUGUCGCGUCGACCGUGAAAACUUGGGGCUCAACCCCAAGCCUGCGGUCGAUACGGGCAGGCUCGAGUUCGGUAGGGGAGACUGGAAUUCCUGGUGUAGCGGUGAAAUGCGCAGAUAUCGAGAGGAACACCUGCGGCGAAGGCGGGUUGCUGGGCUGACACUGACGCUGAGGCGCGAAAGCUAGGGGAGCGAACGGG
rnacentral:rRNA from 1 species